GAGAGAGACAUGCGCGCAUAUCAAUAAGCGGAGGAAAAGAAACUAACAAGGAUUCCCUUAGUAACGGCGAGUGAAGCGGGAAGAGCUCAAAUUUGAAAUCUUCAAGGUUUUACCUUGACGAAUUGUAGUUUAAAGAAGUGUUUUCUGCUGAAGUUUUGGUAAAAGUUCUUUGGAAUAGGACAUCAUAGAGGGUGAGAAUCCCGUAUUUGACCAUUAUUUUCAGCUUUGUGAUACACUUUCAAAGAGUCGGAUUGUUUGGGAAUGCAGUCCAAAAUGGGUGGUAAAUUUCAUCUAAAGCUAAAUAUUGGCGAGAGACCGAUAGCGAACAAGUACCGUGAGGGAAAGAUGAAAAGAACUUUGAAAAGAGAGGUUAAACAAUACGUGAAAUUGUCAAAAGGGAAGCGUUUGACACCAGUGUUGUUUUCUCGAAAAUCAAUUAAAAAUGGCUCGAUUUUGUAUUGCUUGAGACCUUAAAAGCUCACUGUACAUUUUUCGUGUCUUUUUUAAUGCACUUUUCGUUUAACAAGUCAACAUCAGUUUCUUUUGUUGUAAAAGGGUCAUUGGAAGGUGGCUUUCUUUUCGGAGAAAGUGUUUAUAGCCUUUGGCCUCUGCAAUCGGAGAGACUGAGGUCUGCAGCGUAGACUCUUCGGGGUUAGAUACAUUUGUGCUAAGUUAUAGCUUUAUAUAGACAACUUGUUGACUAUAAUUAGUCUUGUAGCUUACUCGCUUAUGCUAUUUUACCUACGCUUAGGAUGUUGAAGAUGUAGCACAUCAU
rnacentral:rRNA from 1 species